GGAAAAUUUUAUAGACUUAUAGCAAUACUUUUGUCAAAGACAACCAAUCUUGCUCUCUUGUUACAACAGGAAAAGUUUUACAGGAAGAAGAAUUUUACAACGCUAGGAGCUUCUUUUAGGUUUUUUUGGAAGAAGAAUUUUACAGGAAAAGUUUUGUAUCCGACCAUUACAAAUGGCUUCCAUUGGUAGCUUCGUGCCAAAGAACUUGCUAAAAGUUCUCAGCUCCGCUCCUCAUCGGAUUCCAAGUAUUGUUAUAAGAUGUGCUUCUACAUCGCAAGGAGGACCAAGCAGGCCCCCGAUUCAAACCAACCCUCCACAAAAUAACGCGGCAACGGAUUCAACCGAUGAGAAAAUGGAUGCCAAUGCCAGAGGGCCAUAUUCACCAAUUAUAUAUGAGGGCUAUUGAAGGCAGCAGAGUUGAUGAUCAAGGCCAUUCUUAUAUAUUAGUCGCCCAUGAAAUCUAAAGUUGAAAUAGGAAUAGAAGAAGUUAAAGAUGAUGAUCCAUGCAUUGACUAGUGAAUAGAAUUCUUUGUGGCUUUUGUUAGUCUCUGAAAUUAAGGUUUAUCUUUACUUGAACUCUUUCUUCUUCCCCAUUCACCUUCUGUAAUGCAGUCCAGGAUUCCAAAAUGCAAUAUAUAUAUUGGUCCUCUACAAUUUGGUCAA